UUGGAGGGCAAGUCUGGUGCCAGCAGCCGCGGUAAUUCCAGCUCCAAUAGCGUAUAUUAAAGUUGUUGCAGUUAAAAAGCUCGUAGUUGAAUUUCGGGAUCAGUAUGUUGGUCGUGCUUCGGUACGUACUGUCAUUACUGGUUUCUACCUUCUGAAGAACCUUGAUGUCAUUAAUUUGGUGUCUUGGGGAAUCAGGACUGUUACUUUGAAAAAAUUAGAGUGUUUAAAGCAGGCAUACGCUUGAAUACAUUAGCAUGGAAUAAUGAAAUAGGACGUUUGAUUCUAUUUUGUUGGUUUCUAGGAUCGACGUAAUGAUUAAUAGGGAUAGUUGGGGGCAUUAGUAUUCAAUUGUCAGAGGUGAAAUUCCUGGAUUUAUUGAAGACUAACUACUGCGAAAGCAUUUGCCAAGGAUGUUUUCAUUAAUCAAGAACGAAAGUUAGGGGAUCGAAGACGAUCAGAUACCGUCGUAGUCUUAACCAUAAACUAUGCCGACUAGGGAUCGGAUGAUGUUAUUUUUAAUGACUCAUUCGGCGCCUUACGGGAAACCAAAGUGUUUGGGUUC
rnacentral:rRNA from 1 species